AUUUGAUGAAGCAUCUGAAGAAGAAGAAGACGAUGAUGAAAUUCGGUAUCUUCAAAAGCUCAAAACUUCCCGAAUGUCAGCUUCUCAUAAUACAGAGCAUGGAGUCGAACCAAGGAGCCAGAAACUUAGGAGGAUUUCUGGGGUAAUGGAUAGAGACCUUGAUGGGUAUGAUGUAGGUGUUAGAGACUAUAAUAUUUCGAGUUCAGGCAAAGAGAGUAAGAAACCCAGACCAGAUAGAAUAUCCGAAGACACUGACUAUGCAGAAGAUGAAGAGUCGGUAUCUGAUGGUGAGCUAGAAACCAAGAAUAAGAAACAAUUAAAGGAGUCAUUUGAAGUCUCGGUAUCCUCUAAGGGGGAAAGGGCAAUAACUACACGCCGGCAGGCCCUUCAAAAGGGUAGAGACAUCUCCAUGAGUUCGGAUGCGAAUUUUAUUGAGUUUCCAAACGGGUUACCUCCCGCCCCUCCAAGAAGUGAGCAUUCCUUCCUGUUGAACUCAUUAAAUGACACUGGGUCCAUAGAUUUCUGAGUCCACUUCUUGCUUAUGAUAACGUGGUUGGUUUGGUCCACAGAGCAAAAGGAGAAACUUUCUGAAAUGGAACAUCAACUUAAAAGAGCUGAGGCUGCUCAAAGGCGUAGGAUUCAAAAUGAGAAGGCUGCUCGUGAGUCUGAGGUUUGUACUUUCCAUUUACUCCAUAUUCUCGUUUGUUUACUUUUAUAUGUAUUUUGUGACAAUUUUUACCUUAAAGAAUCUAUGUUUAAAUUUACUGAAGGAUGGAUUAUAUGAUGAUAUGAUUUACUGAUUAGCAUUCCUGGAAUUGACAGGCCGAAGCAAUUAGGAAAAUCCUGGGUCAAGAUUCCAGUAGAAAACGACGAGAAGAGAAAAUUAAGAAACGGAAAGAGCAGUUAGCACAGGUGACAAGAUGUACAUAGAUACCAUAUUUCAUAUGGCACAGUAGAUUUUCCUUUUGUUUACCCUAGUCAUGUAAAAUAAUGUAGGAGAGGGCUGCCAAUGCUACUGUUGCAUCAAAUGUUGUUAGAUGGGUCAUGGGUCCUUCAGGGACAACUGUGACAUUUCCCGACGAUAUUGGCCUCCCAAGUAUAUUUGAAUCCAAGCAUUCCAGGUAAUAGAGCAAUAUAGAGUGAAUGAUUCAUAUGUAUUAUACAGUGGCAUGAUCUGGCACACUAUUAUUAUCUAGAGCAUGUUUCACUCAGCUUAAAAUGUUCAUUUAUAAGUAAAUAAACUUUAGAAUAUGAUAUUUUUAUAACACGAAAUAAAAAAUAAGUUAAAUUGACAAGAAGGUAAAAAUUACUUAAAAAUAAGUAACUUUUUUUUUAUAGUGAGCUUGUUUGGCUAAGCUUAAAAGUUUACUUAUAAGUAAACAAGUAAUUUAAAAUACAUAAUUUGUUUUAUUGGCGAAAGUUAGAAACAAAAGUUACUUAUUUUAACACCGAGUAAAAUUUACUUUCAAAAAUGUAAUUUUUUUUCUUUAAUUGACGAGCAUGUUUUGGGACAAAAAGUUACUUGAAAGUAACUUUACUUUAAGUUUAGCCAAGCAUACUCUCUGUCAGUGAAACUAUCGUUAUCAUGUUCAAUGGCUCUUAAGCUUCUCGUUAUUAAAAAAGAAUACCAAUGCAGUUUCUAGCUCCGACCGGGUUUUUAUUCUUGCUACAUUCACUGAAUAUGUUCUCGAGACAAAUGAUGCUAUCUGAUUUGAUUGUUUUCGUUAGUUUUUUUAGUUAGAAUAUUUACCGCUGUGAGUACUUUUUAUUUUUUUAAUUUUUAAUUUAUUAUUAUUUUGUCUGUAAAACUGAAUUUUCUGCUCCACGUGGAUUUGGGAUACUGUACUGCAUUACAAUAUGAAGUUUCUAUCAUGGCUUCUUUUGGCAAUGCCCCUUGUAAUCAGAGCAACUUCCCUUCUAGGUGGUACAUUUAUGCCUAAAAAUGUUGGGUUUGUACUGAUCCUAGCUUUCUUCAUUUGUACAGGACAAUUUAUUAAAGGACGGCUCGCCUGUUAGAGAUGAGAAAGGUGGCUUGUUGGGGGUGCCAUGGAAAGAUUUCUCUAGAAGUGGUUUUAGUUUUGGGAGAGUGGGUACUUCCCAAGGAUCGAUCAUGGAAGCUGAUAAAUAUGGGCGAACUCGAGAAAACAAGUAUGUCUCUAGAAAAAGUUCAUUUGAUGAAGCAUCUGAAGAAGAAGAAGACGAUGAUGAAAUUCGGUAUCUUCAAAAGCUCAAAACUUCCCGAAUGUCAGCUUCUCAUAAUACAGAGCAUGGAGUCGAACCAAGGAGCCAGAAACUUAGGAGGAUUUCUGGGGUAAUGGAUAGAGACCUUGAUGGGUAUGAUGUAGGUGUUAGAGACUAUAAUAUUUCGAGUUCAGGCAAAGAGAGUAAGAAACCCAGACCAGAUAGAAUAUCCGAAGACACUGACUAUGCAGAAGAUGAAGAGUCGGUAUCUGAUGGUGAGCUAGAAACCAAGAAUAAGAAACAAUUAAAGGAGUCAUUUGAAGUCUCGGUAUCCUCUAAGGGGGAAAGGGCAAUAACUACACGCCGGCAGGCCCUUCAAAAGGGUAGAGACAUCUCCAUGAGUUCGGAUGCGAAUUUUAUUGAGUUUCCAAACGGGUUACCUCCCGCCCCUCCAAGAAGUGAGCAUUCCUUCCUGUUGAACUCAUUAAAUGACACUGGGUCCAUAGAUUUCUGAGUCCACUUCUUGCUUAUGAUAACGUGGUUGGUUUGGUCCACAGAGCAAAAGGAGAAACUUUCUGAAAUGGAACAUCAACUUAAAAGAGCUGAGGCUGCUCAAAGGCGUAGGAUUCAAAAUGAGAAGGCUGCUCGUGAGUCUGAGGUUUGUACUUUCCAUUUACUCCAUAUUCUCGUUUGUUUACUUUUAUAUGUAUUUUGUGACAAUUUUUACCUUAAAGAAUCUAUGUUUAAAUUUACUGAAGGAUGGAUUAUAUGAUGAUAUGAUUUACUGAUUAGCAUUCCUGGAAUUGACAGGCCGAAGCAAUUAGGAAAAUCCUGGGUCAAGAUUCCAGUAGAAAACGACGAGAAGAGAAAAUUAAGAAACGGAAAGAGCAGUUAGCACAGGUGACAAGAUGUACAUAGAUACCAUAUUUCAUAUGGCACAGUAGAUUUUCCUUUUGUUUACCCUAGUCAUGUAAAAUAAUGUAGGAGAGGGCUGCCAAUGCUACUGUUGCAUCAAAUGUUGUUAGAUGGGUCAUGGGUCCUUCAGGGACAACUGUGACAUUUCCCGACGAUAUUGGCCUCCCAAGUAUAUUUGAAUCCAAGCAUUCCAGGUAAUAGAGCAAUAUAGAGUGAAUGAUUCAUAUGUAUUAUACAGUGGCAUGAUCUGGCACACUAUUAUUAUCUAGAGCAUGUUUCACUCAGCUUAAAAUGUUCAUUUAUAAGUAAAUAAACUUUAGAAUAUGAUAUUUUUAUAAUAUGAAAUCAAAAAUAAGUUAAAUUGACAAGAAGGUAAAAAUUACUUAAAAAUAAGUAACUUUUUUUUUAUAGUGAGCUUGUUUGGCUAAGCUUAAAAGUUUACUUAUAAGUAAACAAGUAAUUUAAAAUACAUAAUUUGUUUUAUUGGCGAAAGUUAGAAACAAAAGUUACUUAUUUUAACACCGAGUAAAAUUUACUUUCAAAAAUGUAAUUUUUUUUCUUUAAUUGACGAGCAUGUUUUGGGACAAAAAGUUACUUGAAAGUAACUUUACUUUAAGUUUAGCCAAGCAUACUCUUAUGGCAGGAAAAAUAAAUAAAUAAACAAUUGAUCCAAAUGCAUUUGGAAAUAAAAAGUUACUUUCAAAGUGGACAAUACUGUUGUUUUCUAAAUCUUUUUGAUAUAUGCUCAAAUCUUAUUGGACACUAUUUAUUUCCACUUAAUUUGGUUUCAAUAGGAGGGAGGACUCUAAGACACAUGAUUACUAUUUAUUUUAAGAUAAAAGCGAGCAAUUUGUUUAUGUUAUGUUUGUUCCUGAAGUAGGAACUGGUCCAUUUGUUCCUCAGUAGCUCUUUUCACAAAGGCUUAGGCUUCCUCGGUAAAGUCUAAGUAGAAGACAUGAUUUCUUGGAACUGAUGUUUACUAGUUUUAAGUAUGUUGAGCAAGUCAUGUUCUCUUAUUUUCUAGCUUAACCAAACAGUGUUCCAUGAUGGAUUUAGUAGUGCAGCCUCUCUGUGCGAGAGGUGAAAUCCAAUCUUAUGUUUUGCUUGCUGAUUUGGUUUUUUGAUGUGGACUACCAGUUAUCCUCCCCCACGCGAGAAAUGUGCUGGUCCUUCGUGUACAAAUGCAUACAAGUAUCGAGAUUCUGAGUCGAACCUCCCUCUUUGCAGCCUUCAGUGCUACAAGGCAAUACACGAGAAGACACGACCUCUGUCUGCUUGUUGAUUUUCUCCUGAUUCUAAUACGAGCACCUGCAGCGAGUUCUUGUUUCUGGGGUAAUGGAUAGAGACCUUGAUGGGUAUGAUGUAGGUGUUAGAGACUAUAAUAUUUCGAGUUCAGGCAAAGAGAGUAAGAAACCCAGACCAGAUAGAAUAUCCGAAGACACUGACUAUGCAGAAGAUGAAGAGUCGGUAUCUGAUGGUGAGCUAGAAACCAAGA
rnacentral:lncRNA from 1 species